rnacentral:tRNA from 1 species
GGAGAGGUGUCCGAGUGGCUGAAGGAGGCGGUCUCGAAAACCGUUAGGCCGGUCAAUCCGGCCUCGUGGGUUCGAAUCCCACCCUCUCCGCCA